CGCUAGCGGCAGGCCUAAUACAUGCAAGUCGAACGGUGGCAGCAAUGCCAUAGUGGCGCACGGGUGCGUAACGCGUAGCCAACCUACCCGAAUCUGGGGGAUAGCCCGCCGAAAGGCGGAUUAAUACCGCAUAACACUGCAGUGUGGCAUCACAUAACAGUUAAAGAUUUAUUGGAUUCGGAUGGGGCUGCGUGCCAUUAGCUGGUUGGGGGGGUAACGGCCCACCAAGGCGACGAUGGCUAGGGGAGCUGAGAGGCUGGUCCCCCACACGGGCACUGAGAUACGGGCCCGACUCCUACGGGAGGCAGCAGUAGGGAAUAUUGGGCAAUGGCCGAGAGGCUGACCCAGCCAUGCCGCGUGCAGGACGAAGGCUUUCUGAGUCGUAAACUGCUUUUGCCAGGGAAGAAAAAAGGGCGUGCGCGCUCUACUGACGGUACCUGGUGAAUAAGCACCGGCUAACUCCGUGCCAGCAGCCGCGGUAAUACGGAGGGUGCAAGCGUUGUCCGGAUUUAUUGGGUUUAAAGGGUGCGUAGGCGGCCGAUUAAGUCUGGGGUGAAAGCCCGUUGCUCAACAACGGAACUGCCCUGGAAACUGGUCGGCUUGAGUACAGACGAGGGUGGCGGAAUGGAUGCUGUAGCGGUGAAAUGCAUAGAUAGCCUCCAGA
rnacentral:rRNA from 1 species